CCUACGGGAGGCAGCAGUGGGGAAUCUUGCGCAAUGGGCGAAAGCCUGACGCAGCCAUGCCGCGUGUAUGAUGAAGGUCUUAGGAUUGUAAAAUACUUUCACCGGUGAAGAUAAUGACUGUAGCCGGAGAAGAAGCCCCGGCUAACUUCGUGCCAGCAGCCGCGGUAAUACGAAGGGGGCUAGCGUUGCUCGGAAUUACUGGGCGUAAAGGGAGCGUAGGCGGACAUUUAAGUCAGGGGUGAAAUCCCAGAGCUCAACUCUGGAACUGCCUUUGAUACUGGAUGUCUUGAGUAUGAGAGAGGUAUGUGGAACUCCGAGUGUAGAGGUGAAAUUCGUAGAUAUUCGGAAGAACACCAGUGGCGAAGGCGACAUACUGGCUCAUUACUGACGCUGAGGCUCGAAAGCGUGGGGAGCAAACAGGAUUAGAUACCCUGGUAGUCCACGCCGUAAACGAUGAUUGCUAGUUGUCGGGAUGCAUGCAUUUCGGUGACGCAGCUAACGCAUUAAGCAAUCCGCCUGGGGAGUACGGUCGCAAGAUUAAAACUCAAAGGAAUUGACGG
rnacentral:rRNA from 1 species